GUUACAUGUAAAGUGGUAGUUCCUAACAUUUUAUCCAUUUUAUCAGUUUUCUCUCCAUUGUAACCCAUGAAUUAAAAUACUUUCUCUGUCAAACUUUAUUAAACUGUAAUUGAUAUUCCCAUUUUGAUUAAAGAUAUAUUAAAUCAUGGUUUACAGGUUUUCAUCAUCAUAAAACAGUAUUACCAAAAUGGAUUGAUGUAAUUCUAGCCAGCAACACGAGGUAUUAACAUUUUAAGCAAAUCUAUACAGCUGUAUAUU
rnacentral:lncRNA from 1 species